rnacentral:misc_RNA from 1 species
GAAAAGGUGGCUUGGAAUAAAUUGCUCACCAUGUACCAGACCAGUCACUGAAAAUUAAGUUAUUAGCCUCAGCCCCAUGAACCAACCCUGAAUUCAUAAAUUAAACCUAAUAUCAGGCCACGAGUACCUAAUACCAGAUCACCAUCUUUACAUCUCAACUAAUGUUACAUAUAUACACAGCCAAAGCAGCCUCCAUCCAUAUUACUCCUAGACUUCCUUUUCUACAACAAUGAAAUUGGCCAUGAAAUUCUACAGAGGAAUUCUGCAUAUUGCCACUGACCAAGCAUGGUUUUGAAUAACCUGAGAUCCCUGUCAUUAUAAAAUUCCCAGAACACCAAUAAACCAUAUUCAUGGACAGAAUUCCACUUUCCGCAAGUUUUUCAAAAAACCAAAUUCAUGAGUUGCUUGAUGUUAAGGCACGAUGUGUUUGUCGUGCCGAACCAUUCACUGCCUCGUUUAUCCUACUAAAUACUAAUUUAAGAGGGACACAAACUAUAACGGGACCCCUGAGUUUCUCCACCACUGGUUUCCUUUCAUCUUUAUUACCCGUCAAUGAAGAUAGUUUCCGGAUCUUUUUAGACAAAAGCCCACAUUUCCUUUUUGGUGACUUACUUGGAGAAAAACGUAGUUGCAUUGUCAUAUGCUUGGCAGGAAUCCUUCCAGGUUCUGAAUUUCGCAUAGCUGCAUGGCCCAGUCCAGUACCUUCCAAAGCAGAUACAUGAGUUGGAUCACAUUCAUUGCUACCGAUAAGAUCACAGUAGCCAUCAUCCAGAACUUCAACUGUUAGAGGGCGACCAAUAAUGGCUUUACCAUUCAAUUUACUCAUAAGGGA